rnacentral:rRNA from 1 species
AGUGAACGCUGGCGGUAGGCCUAACACAUGCAAGUCGAGCGGCAGCACAGUAAGAGCUUGCUCUUACGGGUGGCGAGUGGCGGACGGGUGAGGAAUACAUCGGAAUCUACUUUUUCGUGGGGGAUAACGUAGGGAAACUUACGCUAAUACCGCAUACGAUCUACGGGUGAAAGCAGGGGAUCUUCGGACCUUGCGCGAUUGAAUGAGCCGAUGUGGGAUUAGCUAGUUGGGGGGGUAAAGGCCCACCAAGGCGCCGAUCCGUGGCUGGUCUGAGAGGAUGAUCAGCCACACGGGAACAGAGACACGGACCAGACUCCUACGGGAGGCACCAGUGGGGAAUAUUGGACAAUAGGCGCAAGCCUGAUCCAGCCAUACCGCGUGGGUGAAGAAGGCCUUCGGGCUGUAAAGCCCUUUUGUUGGGAAAGAAAAGCAGCAGGUUAAUACCCCGCUGUUCUGACGGUACCCAAAGAAUAAGCACCGGCUAACUUCGUG